rnacentral:pre_miRNA from 1 species
CGGGGAAGGCCGGAUCCUGGGCUGUGUCCCGGCGCCCUGUGCUCCGGGGCCUGCGCUGUUGGAUUCGCGCUCCCGGGCCGUGCAGCCCCCU